rnacentral:rRNA from 1 species
UACAGAGGUCUCAAGCGUUGUUCGGAUUCAUUGGGCGUAAAGGGUGCGUAGGCGGCGCGGUAAGUCGGGUGUGAAAUCUCGGAGCUUAACUUCGAAACUGCAUUCGAUACUGCCGUGCUUGAGGACUGGAGAGGAGACUGGAAUUUACGGUGUAGCGGUGAAAUGCGUAGAUAUCGUAAGGAAGACCAGUGGCGAAGGCGGGUCUCUGGACAGUUCCUGACGCUGAGACACGAAAGCGUGGGUAGCAAACAGG